rnacentral:rRNA from 1 species
AUUGAACGCUGGCGGCAGGCCUAACACAUGCAAGUCGGGCGGGCUGGCGGACGGGUGAGUAAUGUCUAGGAAUCUGCCUGAUAGGGGGGGAUAACGUCUGGAAACGGUCGCUAAUACCGCAUACUAUCAGAUGUGCCCAGGUCGGAUUAGCUAGUUGGUGGGGUAAAGGCCCACCAAGGCGACGAUCCGUAACUGGUCUGAGAGGAUGAUCAGCCACACUGGAACUGAGACACGGUCCAGACUCCUACGGGAGGCAGCAGUGGGGAAUAUUGUACAAUGGGCGAAAGCCUGAUCCAGCCAUGCCGCGUGUGUGAAGAAGGUCUUCGGAUUGUAAAGCACUUUAAGUUGGGAGGCGUUACCAACAGAAUAAGCACCGGCUAACUCCGUGCCAGCAGCCGCGGUAAUAC